GCGAACGGGUGAGUAACACGUGAGUAACCUGCCCUUAACUCUGGGAUAAGCCUGGGAAACUGGGUCUAAUACCGGAUAUGACUCCUCAUCGCAUGGUGGGGGGUGGAAAGCUUUUUGUGGUUUUGGAUGGACUCGCGGCCUAUCAGCUUGUUGGUGAGGUAAUGGCUCACCAAGGCGACGACGGGUAGCCGGCCUGAGAGGGUGACCGGCCACACUGGGACUGAGACACGGCCCAGACUCCUACGGGAGGCAGCAGUGGGGAAUAUUGCACAAUGGGCGCAAGCCUGAUGCAGCGACGCCGCGUGAGGGAUGACGGCCUUCGGGUUGUAAACCUCUUUCAGUAGGGAAGAAGCGAAAGUGACGGUACCUGCAGAAGAAGCGCCGGCUAACUACGUGCCAGCAGCCGCGGUAAUACGUAGGGCGCAAGCGUUAUCCGGAAUUAUUGGGCGUAAAGAGCUCGUAGGCGGUUUGUCGCGUCUGCCGUGAAAGUCCGGGGCUCAACUCCGGAUCUGCGGUGGGUACGGGCAGACUAGAGUGAUGUAGGGGAGACUGGAAUUCCUGGUGUAGCGGUGAAAUGCGCAGAUAUCAGGAGGAACACCGAUGGCGAAGGCAGGUCUCUGGGCAUUAACUGACGCUGAGGAGCGAAAGCAUGGGGAGCGAACAGGAUUAGAUACCCUGGUAGUCCAUGCCGUAAACGUUGGGCACUAGGUGUGGGGGACAUUCCACGUUUUCCGCGCCGUAGCUAACGCAUUAAGUGCCCCGCCUGGGGAGUACGGCCGCAAGGCUAAAACUCAAAGGAA
rnacentral:rRNA from 1 species